rnacentral:rRNA from 1 species
CCUACGGGAGGCAGCAGUGGGGAAUAUUGGACAAUGGGCGAAAGCCUGAUCCAGCAAUGCCGCGUGAGUGAUGAAGGCCUUAGGGUUGUAAAGCUCUUUUACCAGGGAUGAUAAUGACAGUACCUGGAGAAUAAGCUCCGGCCAACUCCGUGCCAGCAGCCGCGGUAAUACGGAGGGAGCUAGCGUUGUUCGGAAUUACUGGGCGUAAAGCGUACGUAGGCGGUUAUUCAAGUCAGAGGUGAAAGCCUGGAGCUCAACUCCAGAACUGCCUUUGAAACUAGAUAGCUAGAAUCUUGGAGAGGUGAGUGGAAUUCCGAGUGUAGAGGUGAAAUUCGUAGAUAUUCGGAAGAACACCAGUGGCGAAGGCGACUCACUGGACAAGUAUUGACGCUGAGGUACGAAAGCGUGGGGAGCAAACAGGAUUAGAUACCCUGGUAGUCCACGCCGUAAACGAUGAUAACUAGCUGUUCGGGCUCUACGAGCUUGAGUGGCGCAGCUAACGCAUUAAGUAUCCGCCUGGGGAUACGGUGCAAGNUUAAAACUUAAGGAAUUGACGG